UACGGGAGGCAGCAGUGGGAAUCUUACACAAUGCACCAAAGCCUAAUCCAGCACAAGCCGCGUGCAGCGAAUGAAGCACCCUCCGUUUGUAAACCUCUGUAUUGCCUGGAAGAAGCAACAUACUCGUUAUACGGA
rnacentral:rRNA from 1 species